GUUUCUGUCCAAGGUUGUGCAUAAAUCCUUUGUGGAGAUGAGUGAGGAGGGCACAGAGGCUGCAGCUCCCACUGACGUGGUAACAAUGAAAUCACCACUGACUCCUAGAUGCUUGAUUGCAGACCAUCCCUUCCUUUUCUCCAUUCAAGAUACUAGAAGCAAAGAGAUUCUGUUCCUUGGCCGGUUCUCCUCUCCCUGAAGAAUGGGUGUUCCUGUCAGUCUUUUAACGACUCUCCGUGUUUUACCUGUGAAUCAAGUGACCUUAUUCAUAAGUACAAUGACAAUUAUGAAAUAAAUGCCUUUAUGGCACCUCACUUUCUGAA
rnacentral:lncRNA from 1 species